GAUGAGGGGCCAGGAGCUGAUCUAUGCUGCUAUUCCCAUCAAUGAGGCUCUGGCUAAGACCUCACCUCCAGUCUCACCUCUUGCCUGAUCACCAAUGGUCGUCAGUGACAACAGAAUUAGAUGGACUGGAGAUGGUAUUGCCAGCCGGCAUCCUCAGUCAUUUGAUGGGGAGACCAUAAUAGGGUCAAUGUCUCUCUGAGGCUGUACUUCCUCAUGGACACCCAUCAAACACACCCAACGCCAUCACCAUGGCCACUGUCACCAAGG